CAUACGAGACCACAAUUACCCAGUUA
rnacentral:guide_RNA from 1 species